rnacentral:sRNA from 1 species
GAUCAUUACCUGAGUUUUUACAACUCCCAACCCUUCAAUGAACCUACCUAUCGUUGCUUCGGCGGGCUCGCCCCAGCGUCCGGACGGCCCCGCGCCGGCCCGCGGCCUGGACCCAGGCGGCCGCCGGAGACCCUUCCAGCCUGUAUCCAUCAGUCUUUCUGAAUCCGCCGCAAGGCAAACAAAUGAAU